rnacentral:rRNA from 1 species
GUGCCAGCCGCCGCGGUAAUACGGAGGGUGCAAGCGUUAUCCGGAUUCACUGGGUUUAAAGGGUGCGUAGGUGGGCAGGUAAGUCAGUGGUGAAAUCCUGUAGCUUAACUACAGAACUGCCAUUGAUACUAUCUGUCUUGAAUACCCUGGAGGUGAGCGGAAUAUGUCAUGUAGCGGUGAAAUGCUUAGAUAUGACAUAGAACACCCAUUGCGAAGGCAGCUCACUACGGGAAUAUUGACGCUGAGGCACGAAAGCGUGGGGAUCAAACAGGAUUAGAAACCCGUGUAGUCC